rnacentral:lncRNA from 1 species
AACAAGAAAGAAAAAAGUAAGGUCCAGGCCCACAGUGUUUACCUGGUAGCCAUUUCUAGCUCAGUGCUGGCGUGUGCUGUAAGCUCAGCAAACUGUUUGAAUGGAUGAAAAAUUCACCAAGGCAGGACUGGACUCUGAGAAGAUCUCCACUCAGCUGCUCUGUCUCUAAAGAUGUCUUGAAAAGGAAACAGCUGAAUAAUUCAUUUUCUAAUAAUGAACUGUGGAGCAACUUGAAAUCUAAGACCAAGGAGAGAAAUCACAGUUCCCAAAGGAAAGGAAAAGGCUUGCAGGCUAUACCAGAGGGUUUUCAAUGUAUCUGCCGAGUUUUCUGUUGCUUGCAUCUCCAAUUCCAAUCUGCAGGAACGAGGUGUCAUGAUGGUCUGGCCUCUGCUUCUGUGAGGUCCAUACCCAGUGACUCAGGCAAUAGAAGAAAUUGGGAGAAAAAAACAAAUAAACGUGUGUUGUAAACAUA